AACGUAGGUUCCGAGCGUUAUCCGGAUUUCCUGGGCGUAAAGCGCGUUCAGGCGGUUUGGCAAGUCGGGCAUGAAAUCCUUCGGCUCAACCGGGGGAGGUUGUCCGAUACUGCUAAACUGGAGGGCAGUAGAGGGUGGUGGAAUUCCGGGUGUAGUGGUGAAAUGCGUAGAGAUCCGGAGGAACACCAGUGGCGAAAGCGGCCACCUGGACUGUACCUGACGCUGAAACGCGAAAGCUAGGGGAGCGAACGGG
rnacentral:rRNA from 1 species